UAUGAAAUACCAUCGAGAUUCUCACGGUCACGUGCGAUCCACGUCCGAUUCAAUCUCUAUAAAACGGCACAGAGAUAAAGAUGGGGAGCCAUGGUGUUGCCCUAGUUUUUACUCCGCCGCAACUCCAUCCUCUCCUCUUCCGUCUUGUUACUUGGUUCAAUGAUGACUAUAUGCUUUAAACCACACUGAAAUUGAAGCCUGAAGAGGGGUUCCUUUUAUGUUUUCUGCUGGUAACUCUUUCCCUUGCCAAGUGAGAGGUUGAGGGGUUAACUCCCUCUCACAAUGUUCGUUGAGGUGCCAAGUGAGAGGUUGAGGGGUUAAUUCCCUUUCACAGCAUUGGUGGAGGUGGCUAAGUGAGAGGUUGAGGAUUAACUCCCUCUCACUGCAUUCGUUGAGGUGCCAAGUGAGAACUUCAAGGAUCAACUCUCACAGGAUUGAUUCAAAUAGUCAAGUGAGAGGUUGAGGGAUUAACUCCUCUCUCACAAUAUUGGUUGAGGUGCCAAGUGAGAACUUCAAAGAUCAACUCUCACAGCAUUGAUUCAAAUAGCCAAGUGAGAGGUUGAGGGAUUAACUCCCUCUCACAACAUUGAUUCAAGUAGCCAAAUGUGAGGUUGAGGGAUUAACUCCCUCUCACAUUGUUGGUUGAGGUGCCAAGUGAGAACUUCAAGGAUCAACUCUCACAGCAUUGAUUCAAAUAGCUAAGUGAGAGGUUGUGGGAUUAACUCCCUCUCGCAAUAUUGGUUGUGGUUUCAAGUGAGAACUUCAAGGAUCAACACUCACAGCAUUGAUUCAAAUAGCCAAGUGAGAGGUUGAGGGAUUAACUCCCUCUCACAAUGUUGGUUGUGGUGCCAAGUGAGAACUUCAAGGAUCAACUCUUACAGCAUUGAUUCAAAUAGCCAAGUGAGAGGUUAAGGGAUUAACUCCCUCUCACAAUAUUGGUUGAGGUGCCAAGUGAACUUCAAGGAUCAACUCUCACAGCAUUGAUUCAAAUAGCCAAGUGAGAGGUUGAGGGAUUAACUCUCUCUCACAAUAUUGGUUGAGGUGUCAAGUGAGGUUCAUGGAUCUACUCACACAACAUCGAUUCAAGUAGCCAAGUGAGAGGUUCAAGGAUUAACUCCCUCUCACAAUACUGGUUAAGUUGAGUGGCAUAUGCUUCUUAUUCAAUGGGAAAAGAAAAGGGCUUCUGCAAGAGUUACCAUUGAGGAUUUGGUUUGAAUCUGUUUUUGGAACCCCUCUGAUGAUGGAUCUUUACGUGGAGGCCUUUAGCUAUUUUCUGAGAGCCUUAUGUGUGAUUAAUAUUUAUGGUUUAUUCUUUAGAUAUGGUUAGAUAUUUGUUUUCUUUCUUAAAUCAUGACUGCCAUGGAAGCUUGAAAUAUCCCUAAACUGAAGCUUUAUGAAAAGGUAUCUUUUCUCUUUUUUCUCUUU